rnacentral:rRNA from 2 species
GCACAAGCGGUGGAGCAUGUGGUUUAAUUCGAAGCAACGCGAAGAACCUUACCAGGUCUUGACAUCUUUUGAUCACCUGAGAGAUCAGGUUUCCCCUUCGGGGGCAAAAUGACAGGUGGUGCAUGGUUGUCGUCAGCUCGUGUCGUGAGAUGUUGGGUUAAGUCCCGCAACGAGCGCAACCCUUAUGACUAGUUGCCAGCAUUUAGUUGGGCACUCUAGUAAGACUGCCGGUGACAAACCGGAGGAAGGUGGGGAUGACGUCAAAUCAUCAUGCCCCUUAUGACCUGGGCUACACACGUGCUACAAUGGAUGGUACAACGAGUUGCGAGACCGCGAGGUCAAGCUAAUCUCUUAAAGCCAUUCUCAGUUCGGACUGUAGGCUGCAACUCGCCUACACGAAGUCGAAUCGCAGAUCGCAGCUGAUCGC